rnacentral:rRNA from 1 species
GAUGAACGCUAGCUACAGGCUUAACACAUGCAAGUCGAGGGGCAGCAUUGGGAUAGCUUGCUAUUCCAGAUGGCGACCGGCGCACGGGUGAGUAACGCGUAUCCAACCUUCCCCAUAGUAGGGCACAGCCCGGCGAAAGUCGGAUUAAUUCCCUAUGCAGUCCAGAGAGGACAUCUGACCUGGACGAAAGAUUCAUCGCUAUGGGAUGGGGAUGCGUCUGAUUAGGUUGCAGGCGAGGUAAAUGCUCACCAAGGCGACGAUCGGUAGCCGGGUUGAGAGACUGAACGGCCACAUUGGAACUGAGACACGGUCCAAACUCCUACGGGAGGCAGCAGUGAGGAAUAUUGGUCAAUGGGCGAGAGCCUGAACCAGCCAAGUAGCGUGCAGGAUGACGGCCCUAUGGGUUGUAAACUGCUUUUGCAUGGGAAUAAAGUGAGGCACGUGUGCCUUUUUGUAUGUACCAUGAGAAUAAGGACCGGCUAAUUCCGUGCCAGCAGCCGCCGCAAGAA